rnacentral:lncRNA from 1 species
UUUUUUUUUUCCAACAGGAAGAAAAUAAACUUCCUAAAGCAUUCUUUUAAAAUAAACAGGAGCCACAGCAAUGGAAGUAACUUUAAAAAAUUGCAUCCAGUCUUUUCAUCUCAUUAAAAACAAUGCUUGUUAAAGAACAAAAAGUUGGCUUGUCACAGAAAAAGACCACUCCCUGGGACUGGAGCAGACAAAUGCUAUGCUAGCCACUUCUGGUCACUCAUGAUUUAGAUAACGAGGAGUAACCACUGACACUGUAAACUGCUAUUAAGUGAAAAUCGGGAGGAGGGUUCUGACUGGUUUCAAAGAGAAAGCUUUAAAACCUUAGGCUGUCUAUUUCUCAAACACCCAAUAUCCUUUAUCGGGUGGGAAAAACAUAAUACAGUGUUGUACCAUUCAAGCACUUUCCGACAUCAACAGUCACACCAUCCACCCACUCCCACCUACUUGCAGGGUACCAAAUGUUCUCCCUAGAGACCCAGGAUGGGGAGGGCUGAGCGCUGCCUCUUGCCUUGUCGGCGGGGACAGACUUUGGCCCUCUAAGAUAAGGAUGUAGAGAAUCCCUAAUCAAACAGGCCGCCCCAAAACAGCUGCCACCCAAUGCCCGGGAAGGCAGCAGUGGAAGAGUUCGGCACCUGGGAUAAAAAGUUGGACGCUCAGCUUUCCCGGGGCAUGACAGUCACAUCACAAGGAGGAAUCACCUGCUUGCAUGGAAGUAGGAAUAGCUGAAUUGGGUGGCCUGGACUGCUGAGAAGCAAAGCACUUUGUCACCUAUGGAACCUAUGAGCCUCCUGCCCUAAGGA